GUUGAAAGACCAGUUCCCGUACGAUCAUCGAAGUUAAGCAACGUCGAGCCUGAUCAGUACCUAGAUGGGUGACCGCUUGGGAAUACCAGGUACAGUA